CGUAGGGCGCGAGCGUUGUCCGGAUUUAUUGGGCGUAAAGAGCUUGUAGGCGGUCUGUCGCGUCGGUCGUGAAAACUUGGGGCUUAACCCUGAGCUUGCGGUCGAUACGGGCAUGACUGGAGUUCGGCAGGGGAGACUGGAAUUCCUGGUGUAGCGGUGAAAUGCGCAGAUAUCAGGAGGAACACCGGUGGCGAAGGCGGGUCUCUGGGCCGAUACUGACGCUGAGGAGCGAAAGCGUGGGGAGCGAACAGG
rnacentral:rRNA from 1 species